GGCAGCUCGAGUGAUGGCCGAUCUUAUUGGGCCUAAAGCGUCCGUAGCUGGCCUUGCAAGUCCGUCGGGAAAUCCACGCGCUUAACGUGUGGGCGUCCGGCGGAAACUGUGCGGCUUGGGACAGGAAGGCUCGAGGGGUACGUUCGGGGUAGGAGUGAAAUCCUGUAAUCCUGGACGGACCGCCGAUGGGGAAACCACUUCAAGAGAACGGAUCCGACAGUGAGGGACGAAAGCUAGGGUCUCGAACCGG
rnacentral:rRNA from 1 species